CUCUUUACUCUCUCUCUCUCUCUAGAACCUCUCUCUAGCCCCGAAAUCCCCCGAAAAGCCUAGGGAACCUCCCUAGCACGAGGCGGAAGCCCCGGAGUGCUCGAAGGCUCCGAGAAGAAGAGUUUUUCGGCUCGGGAACGCUGCUCCAAGCAAAGCCCGGUUUUCUAUAAAACCCGCUGUUUCGUCGAAGAAAAUUCUUUUUAAGAAGCGAAGCGCUGUCUGAGUUCGGAAUCACCACCUUUUCAGGUAGUGGCGCUUGAGCAUAUAUAUGAUGUUUGGACGAGGGAUUACGGAUAUAGGCCUGUAGAUAUGAAAUAAUGUAGUAAGGCUUGUAUUGUACUGUUUAUGCUUUUGAUCUGUACGAACAUGACAUCCCGAGUCUUUUAAUAAAAUACAUUUCUA